UAAAACCAGCACCUCAAGUGGUCAGGAGGAUUAUUGGGCCUAAAGCAUCCGUAGCCUGUUCUAUAAGUUUGCGGUUAAAUCCAUGUGCUCAACAUAUGGGCUGCCGUAAAUACUGUAGAACUAGGGAGUGGGAGAGGUAGACGGUACUCGAUAGGAAGGGGUAAAAUCCUUUGAUCUAUUGAUGACCACCUGUGGCGAAGGCGGUCUACCAGAACACGUUCGACGGUGAGGGAUGAAAGCUGGGGGAGCAAACCGGAUUAGAUACCCGGGUAGUCCCAGCUGUAAACGAUGCAGACUCGAUGAUGCAAUGGCAUAGAGCUAUUGCAGUAUCGCAGGGAAGCCGUUAAGUUUGCCGCCUGGGAAGUACGUACGCAAGUAUG
rnacentral:rRNA from 1 species